ACUCAAUUAAUUCAUACCAAACAUUUCUAUCUCAAACCUCAAGACCAAUGGAUGAUCCUCACCUACGCAGUUGCAGCAGAGGCCGCCAUUUUUCUUCUGAUCUCACUUCCUUCACUAAAGGUUCUCAAAACUCGUCUGGUUUCGUUAAUAUCUCUUAUCCUUCAGUCGUUAAUGUUCAUCGUCCCUUUCGCCGCUUUUCAGCUUCUCGAUAUUUACUAGAAGUAUGAGCACCGAUUGACGUGUGCUUCUGAGAUCGGUACUUCCACCGAGAGAGAUCGCUAUGAGAAAUCGAAAACUGAAGACGCUCUGGAAUUGGAUUCUCCACUCUGAUCAGGAAAAAAUGGACCGUCAUACUGCUGUUUGUUAUGCAAUUCUCACUCUGGCAAUGGCUACUUCUUCUGCAAUUCAGCUUUAAUUCUUCUCUAAAACCCUUUAGUUCUUCUCGAAACCCCCGAAAUUGCCGAAAACUCGUUUUGUUAAUUUUUGAACUUAAACCCUUUCUUUGAAUUUUAUUUAACUACAGAUUGGCGCUCGAGAUGAAUUCAGGAAGACCCAAAUAAUCACAACGAAUUCUCCGUUCUCUAUUGCAUUUGAAACCCUCCAGAAGCAGAUUGACUGCUUUCAUGUAGAUAAUCCGGCCGUAGUCUGUGGUGCUUUUUGUGCUAUAUUCGGUGCUAUUGCCCUUGAUUCUUGGAAGUCUGAUGCUGCUGCAAAAGUGUUCUUGAAUGUUCAUGCUCGCACUGGUGAAUUAGCUGCUGAUUUUUAGGUACUUAUCAUUUGAAAAGUCUCGGAUUGGGUUCCUUUGUCAGCAAGUAUUUAUUAUUGGCCUGAGCGCUUGAUCGAGGCUGUUUAGUUGUUAUAGAACAAUUUUUAUAUUAAAAUGUAUGCGUACGUUGAAAUUGGAACAUAUAUUUAAAUGUAGUACAUGCACUUUGGUUUUGGGAUAUAUAUAUAUAUAUA